UCAUCGGGUAAAGUGUAACUUGAGAAUUCCUGCUUUUCUUCUACUCUCAUAAUUAAUUAGUUUCAGUUUUCAUCUUUCUGCGUUGGCUUUGGCCUCAAGAGAUAUCACAAGUAUUUACAGAAGCAGUUGUAAUCAUCAAUUCUCUGCUUUGCUUCCCAUUAGUUCUUGUUCUGCCUC